GAGCUUGCUUCAUCAGCACAUAUACGAAAAUUGAAAGAAUAUAGAGAAGAUUACCACAGUCCGUGCCCAAGGAUGACAUGAAAAUUUAUGAAGCAUUCCAUAUUCUG
ensembl:snRNA U6 U6 spliceosomal RNA